UGAGGAAUAUUGGACAAUGGGCGCAAGCCUGAUCCAGCCAUGCCGCGUGCAGGAAGAAGCAUCUAUGGUGUGUAAACUGCUUUUGUACGGGAAGAAACACUCCUUCGUGAAGGAGCUUGACGGUACCGUAAGAAUAAGGAUCGGCUAACUCCGUGCCAGCAGCCGCGGUAAUACGGAGGAUCCAAGCGUUAUCCGGAAUCAUUGGGUUUAAAGGGUCCGUAGGCGGUUUGGUAAGUCAGUGGUGAAAGCCCGCAGCUCAACUGUGGAACGGCCAUUGAUACUGCCAGACUUGAAUUACAAGGAAGUAACUAGAAUAUGUAGUGUAGCGGUGAAAUGCUUAGAUAUUACAUGGAAUACCAAUUGCGAAGGCAGGUUACUACUUGUGGAUUGACGCUGAUGGACGAAAGCGUGGGGAGCGAACAGGAUUAGAUACCCUGGUAGUCCACGCCGUAAACGAUGGAUACUAGCUGUUGGGGGCAACUUCAGUGGCUAAGCGAAAGUGAUAAGUAUCCCACCUGGGGAGUACGUUCGCAAGAAUG
rnacentral:rRNA from 1 species